rnacentral:rRNA from 1 species
CAGCACCUCAAGUGGUCAGGAUGAUUAUUGGGCCUAAAGCAUCCGUAGCCGGCUCUGUAAGUUUUCGGUUAAAUCUGUAUGCUCAACAUACAGGCUGCCGGGAAUACUGCAGAGCUAGGGAGUGGGAGAGGUAGACGGUACUCGGUAGGAAGGGGUAAAAUCCUUUGAUCUAUUGAUGACCACCUGUGGCGAAGGCGGUCUACCAGAACACGUCCGACGGUGAGGGAUGAAAGCUGGGGGAGCAAACUGGAUUAGAUACCCGAGUAGUC